CUUGAGAAUUAGUUCACUUGAGUGAGAGCUCCAGAACAUGCGCCCUAUUGAAAGACGAAUCUAGAGAGGCGUUUCAGCACCAUUCUCUCAGGGAGUACAGAGGACCACUGAGCUCUCUUGGAAUAGACACGACAUUUGGCUCGAGUGGAACCAACGACAACGAAAACUCGUAUUUCAUGUGGAUUACUCCUGGAAAAGGAAACUUGUUUGAAAAGAGGACAUUAGUUUAUCAACGAAACUUAUAAGGACUGGAUCGGACGCUACAGCGCUGGCUACGAGACACAGCCCAUGAUGCACGCUCCUUCCUCUGCAGCCCCACCCACUUCCUGUCUGUAGAGGAAGCGACCGCCCCCAGCAUGUCGUCGCACCCCCAGUCGGUGCCCCAGAGCCGGAGGGCCGUGGAGACCCGCCACCUGCCCAACCCUGCCUCCCUCCCUCUGCAGCUGGCCCGGGCACACACGGAGGUGGGCCUGGUGGACUACCACCCUCAUGUGAGGGACUACAGCUCCCACCUGGCCCAGCCACACCGUCGCAGGCCCUCUCUGCUGUCUGAGUUCCAGCCAGGGAAUGAGAGGUGAGUCACACACACACACACGUACACACAUGUACACACACACGUGCAGCUCUACUCUCCCUAAGCAGCUACUUAAUUAACCCCAGGUCACCUGAAACCACAGUCUAGAGUACAGGAUUUGAGUCUAGUAACGUGUUAUUUUGGCAUCCUGAAAAAACAACCCCCCCCCUC